GGCCUUCAAGGACGUACAAUCAUAUUGCAACGAUAGAAGAAAAACAUAGCCUCUGCACAAGGACGACAUGCACAAAGCAAGAAGUGGUUCAAUAUACU